CUAGGCUAGGUCCAGAGUUCUUCACUCCCUUGCUACAGAAUUCAGUGAAUAUCUUCUGCUGGUCUCCACACCCUUUUCUGUCAUUUGAGCCAGAGAAGAAGGGAAGGGAAGAAAAUGAAAUGCAUCGGUCCCCAGCACACAGUUCCCAGAGUAUUUGUGUGCUCAAUUUGUCCUCUUCAGGAGUCAGGAUUCACUUUCUCGGCACCAGGAGGGUCAUCUGUGAG